rnacentral:rRNA from 1 species
GUCUAAGUAUAAGUGUAAUACGGCGAAACUGCGGAUGGCUCAUUAUAUCAGUUAUAAUCUACUUGAUCGAUAAUUUUACUUGGAUAACUGUAGGAAUUCUAGAGCUAAUACAUGCGAAAAGUCUGGACCGGGGGCAACCUUGGGAAGGACGUGUUUACUAGUUGAGAAACCAGGAUGGGGCGCAAGUUCCAUUUUAAAGAUGAUUCAUAGUAAGUUCACGAAUCGGGGCUCAUGUCUCGAUGAUGCAAACGAGUAUCUGCCCUAUCAACUUUCAACCGUAGUGUAGGGGACUACGGUGGUUGUAACGGGUACGGGGAAUUAGGGUUCGAUUCCGGAGAGGCCGCCUGAGAAACGGCGACCACUUCCAAGGAAGGCAGCAGGCGCGUAAAUUAUCCAAUCCCAAUUCGGGGAGAUAGUGACAAGAAAUAUCGGUGUGGGGCCUUAACGGUUCCACGAUCGAAAUGAGUACAAUUUAAAAACCUUAGCGAAACAAUUGGAGGGCAAGUCUGGUGCCAGCAGCCGCGGUAAUUCCAGCUCCAAUAGUGUAUAUUAAAGUUGUUGCGGUUAAAAAGCUCGUAGUUGGAUUUCGGCGUGCGCUCAGGCUGGUCGGCCGUCAUGGUCUGUACCGUUUGGGUCACGCCCCACUGUAGGAUACUCACCGCUGUCCUUAACUGGGUGGCGGUCAAAGGUUGUAGUACUUUCUGGGGGCAACUCUGGAUACUAUGACUGGGGUUCCUACUCUUUUACUUUGAAAAAAUUAGAGUGUUCAAAGCAGGCCUAUGCCCGAAUACAUUAGCAUGGAAUAAUAAAAUAGGACGUGCGGUUCUAUUUUGUUGGUUUCUAGAGUCGCCGUAAUGAUUAAUAGGGAUAGUUGGGGGCAUUAGUAUUCAGUUGCUAGAGGUGAAAUUCUUGGAUUUACUGAAGACUAACUUCUGCGAAAGCAUUCCACAAGGAUGUUUUCAUUAAUCAAGAACGAAAGUUAGGGGAUCGAAGACGAUCAGAUACCGUCGUAGUCUUAACCAUAAACGAUGCCGACCAGCGAUUAGGAGACGUUGAAUACAAAACACCACCAUCGGUGCGGUCGUCCUUGGCGCGUCGCGGCUUGCCGUGGCGUGCGAGGGCGGUUUAGCCUGAUGGCAUCGGUGAAUGACUCCCCUAGCAGCUUGUGAGAAAUCAUAAGUCUUUGGGUUCCGGGGGGAGUAUGGUCGCAAGGCUGAAACUUAAAGGAAUUGACGGAAGGGCACCACCAGGAGUGGAGCCU